rnacentral:tRNA from 1 species
GCCCAUGUAGCUCAGAGGUAGAGCAGCUCAUUCGUAAUGAGCAGGUCGCAGGUUCAACUCCCGUCGUGGGCUCCA